GACGAACCGUCCAAACGUUAUUCGGAAUCACUGGGCUUACAGAGUUCGUAGGCGGUCUGGAAAGUUGGGUGUGAAAUCCCUCGGCUCAACCGAGGAACUGCGCUUGAAACUACCAGACUCGAGGGAGAUAGAGGAAAGCGGAACUGAUGGUGGAGCGGUGAAAUGCGUUGAUAUCAUCAGGAACACCGGUGGCGAAGGCGGCUUUCUGGGUCUUACCUGACGCUGAGGAACGAAAGCUAGGGGAGCAAACGGG
rnacentral:rRNA from 1 species